ACCCGUCUUGAAACACGGACCAAGGAGAUUAUAAUUAUAGCGAGAUAAAGCUUGAAUCUUUAUUAAUUUGACGAGUUAUAAUUAUAAGACCCGAAACACAGUGAACUAUACAUGUUCUGGUUGAAGAUAAGCAACAGUUUAUUGGAAGACCAUAAUCAUUCUGACGUGCAAAUCGAUGAUUUAAGAUGUGUAUAGUGGCGAAAGACCAAUCGAACUGUGUGGUAGCUGGUUCACAGCGAAAUGUCUCUCAGGACAGCAGUCAUUAUCACAUAGGACAUAAAUGUAGGACACUGUUAUGAUAUUUAUAUUAUGAGAAAUCUUUAAUUUUAUGGAAUCUUAUAAAUUAGUUUUAUAGGAUGAAUCUAUUGUAUANCUAGUGGGCACAUGAUUGUAAGAAUGAUGUGCAAAAAGGGAUGAACCUUAUGAA
rnacentral:rRNA from 1 species